UACGUAGGGUGCGAGCGUUAAUCGGAAUUACUGGGCGUAAAGCGUGCGCAGGCGGUUAUUUAAGUCAGGUGUGAAAGCCCUGGGCUUGACCUAGGAAUUGCGCUUGAGACUGGAUAGCUUGGAGUGCGGCAGAGGGAGGUGGAAUUCCACGUGUAGCAGUGAAAUGCGUAGAGAUGUGGAGGAACACCGAUGGCGAAGGCAGCCUCCUGGGCCAGCACUGACGCUCAUGCACGAAAGCGUGGGGAGCAAACAGG
rnacentral:rRNA from 1 species